rnacentral:misc_RNA from 1 species
UCAAAAUUCAAGCUCGGCUUGGUGAUGGGCGCCUGUCCUGCCUUCCUUGCGUGUGGACUCGCCUCAAAAGCAGUUGGCGGCUUCUUCUCCGGCUCCGAACGCAGCAGAAUUGGGUUGAAGACGGUGCGAAGAAGCCUUCCAGCGAAGCAAACUUUGUUAGA